GCGGGUGUGGCGAAAUUGGUAGACGCACCAGAUUUAGGUUCUGGCGCCGCAAGGUGUGCGAGUUCAAGUCUCGCCUCCCGCACCA
rnacentral:tRNA from 1 species